GCGAGAAACCUUUGCAAUGUGCGCAAGCACGACAAGGUUAAUCCGAGUGUUUCCUGCUAAAGGAAUCUUUUGUUAGUUCUAAAACCACUGAUGAAUAAGAGGUGGGCAAGUUCUGGUGUCAGCCGCCGCGGUAAAACCAGCACCUCAAGUGGUCAGGAGGAUUAUUGGGCCUAAAGCAUCCGUAGCCGGUUCUGUAAGUUUUCGGUUAAAUCCACUAGCUUAACUAAUGGGCUGCCGAAAAUCUGCAGAACUAGGGAGUGGGAGAGGUAGACGGUACUCGGUAGGAAGGGGUAAAAUCCUUUGAUCUAUUGAUGACCACCUGUGGCGAAGGCGGUCUACCAGAACACGUUCGACGGUGAGGGAUGAAAGCUGGGGGAGCAAACCGGAUUAGAUACCCCUGUAGUCCCUGAGCGGGC
rnacentral:rRNA from 1 species